rnacentral:rRNA from 1 species
UCUGGCUCAGAACGAACGCUGGCGGCGCGUCUUAAGCAUGCAAGUCGGACGGCAAGGGGAGCUUGCUCCCCCCUAGAGUGGCGGACUGGUGAGUAACGCGUGGGUGACCUACCCUUGAGAUGGGGAUAGCCAUUAGAAAUAGUGGAUAAUACCGAAUACGCUCUUUUUUGCUGUGGCGAGAAGAGGAAACAGGCUACGGCCUGGCUCGAGGAUGGGCCCGCGUCCCAUUAGCUAGUUGGUGAAGUAACGGCCCACCAAGGCGACGAUGGGUAUCCGGCCUGAGAGGGUGUACGGACACAUUGGGACUGAGAUACGGCCCAAACUCCUACGGGAGGCAGCAGCUAAGAAUAUUCCGCAAUGGACGAAAGUCUGACGGAGCGACGCCGCGUGGAUGAAGAAGGCCGAAAAAGGUUGUAAAAUCCUUUUGCUGAUGAAGAAUAAGUGGUGUAGGGAAUGACAUCAUGAUGACAUUAGUCGGUGAAUAAGCCCCGGCUAACUACGUGCCAGCAGCAGC